GGGAGUGGUCCGUCACCAUCUCGGGAGCUCUAAGAACAAAGACCUGCCGCCUCUCCCCAUUUGCAGGUGGAGCCCCUCUUGGGGAGUGUUGGUCUUGGGUGCAGAGGUGGCUGCAAUUCUUUGCCCCUGAACUUCAGAGACAAUCAGAAAUGUUAGGAGCUGAAAUGACUGUGGCACUGGGCAGAGCUUUAUAACCAUGGAACAGUGUGAGCCGUGGCUGAUGCUGUCUGCGCCAGAGAGAAAGAUUGACAAGACCUCAUCACAUGGCCCUAUUGAAUCUGGAAGUUCUGAUUCCCCUGUGUUUGGAAGGAGACGAGGAACCACUGAGAAGCUCUAAUGACUGUCCUGACAAAUGGUCCCUAAAGCAGGUCCAGAAUUUGGGAGCAACAUGGCUGAGCAGUUCUGAUACAUGGUUUUUCAUGAUAUUGCAGUCAAGAUAUCAGCUGGGGCUGUAGUCAUCUGAAGGCCCAACUGGGG